UGGCAAAAGGAUAGAGGUUAGUGGGGCGAAGAAGAGUGGGGGUCUGGUAAUGGCAUAGGGACAGAGGUUAGUGGGGAGAGGAAGAGUGGGGGUCUGGUAAUGGCAUAGGGACAGAGGUUAGUGGGGAGAGGAAGAGUGGGGGUCUGGUAAUGGCAUAGGGACAGAGGUUAGUGGGGAGAGGAAGAGUGGGGGUCUGGUAAUGGCAUAGGGACAGAGGUUAGUGGGGAGAGGAAGAGUGGGGGUCUGGUAAUGGCAUAGGGACAGAGGUUAGUGGGGAGAGGAAGAGUGGGGGUCUGGUAAUGGCAUAGGGACAGAGGUUAGUGGGGAGAGGAAGAGUGGGGGUCUGGUAAUGGCAUAGGGACAGAGGUUAGUGGGGAGAGGAAGAGUGGGGGUCUGGUAAUGGCAUAGGGACAGAGGUUAGUGGGGAGAGGAAGAGUGGGGGUCUGGUAAUGGCAUAGGGACAGAGGUUAGUGGGGAGAGGAAGAGUGGGGGUCUGGUAAUGGCAUAGGGACAGAGGUUAGUGGGGAGAGGAAGAGUGGGGGUCUGGUAAUGGCAUAGGGACAGAGGUUAGUGGGGAGAGGAAGAGUGGGGGUCUGGUAAUGGCAUAGGGACAGAGGUUAGUGGGGAGAGGAAGAGUGGGGGUCUGGUAAUGGCAUAGGGACAGAGG